rnacentral:rRNA from 1 species
AGAGUUUGAUCCUGGCUCAGGAUGAAUGCUGGCGGCGUGCCUAAUACAUGCAAGUCGAGCGGAAAGGCCCUUCGGGGUACUCGAGCGGCGGACGGCUGAGGAACACGUGGGAACAUACCCCAGAGUGAGGGAUAACGCACCGAAAGGUGUGCUAAUACCGCAUAAUCUCUUUGGAGCAAAGCUUUAGCGCUUUGGGAAUGGCCUGCGUCUGAUUAGAUAGUUGGUGAGGUAAUGGCUCACCAAGUCGACGAUCAGUAACUGGUUCGAGAGGAUGACCAGUCAGACUGGAACUGAGAUACGGUCCAGACUCCUACGGGUCUUUCACAAUGGGGGCAACCCUGAUGGAGCAACGCCGCGUGCGGGACGAAGGCCUUCGGGUCGUAAACCGCUUUUAUUAUUGAGAAAUAUGAUGGUAGAUAAUGAAUAAGGGUCGGCUAACUACGUGCCAGCAGCCGCGGUCAUACGUAGGACCCAAGCAUUAUCCGGAGUGACUGGGCGUAAAGAGUUGCGUAGGUGGUUUUGUAAGUAGAGAGUGAAAUAUGGCGGCUUAACCGUUCAUCUGCUCCCUAAACUGCAAGACUCGAGAGCGUCAGGGGUAGCUGGAAUUUCUAGUGUAGGGGUAAAAUCCGUAGAUAUUAGAAAGAACACCAACAGCGUAGGCAGGCUACUGGGGCGUUUCUGACACUAAGGCACGAAAGCAUGGGGAGCAAACAGGAUUAGAUACCCUGGUAGUCCAUGCUGUAAACGAUGAACACUAGCCGUAUGGGGUAUUUACCCCCUAUGUGGCGAAGCUAACGCGUUAAGUGUUCCGCCUGUGUAGUACGAUCGCAAGAUUAAAACAUAAAGGAAUUGACGGGGACCCGCACAAGCGGUGGAGCGUGAUCUUUAAUUCGAUGGUAAACGAUAAACCUUACCAAGGCUUGACAUCUCGGGAAGGCUCUGGAAACAGAACUGUGCCGUAAGGAACCCGAAGACAGGUGUUGCAUGGCCGUCGUCAGCUCGUGUCGUGAGAUGUUUGGUUAAGUCCAUCAACGAGCGCAACCCUUGCAAUUAGUUGUAUUUUUCUAAUUGGACUGCCCCGGUAACGGGGAGGAAGGAGGGGAUGAUGUCAGGUCAGUAUUUCCCUUACGCCUUGGGCGAGAAUCGCGCUACAAUGGUAGGUAACAAUGCGGAGCGAAGCAGUGAUGUGGAGCAAAUCGCAGAAAACCUAUCUCAGUCCGGAUAGAAGGCUGAAACUCGCCUUCUUGAAGUCGGAAUCGCUAGUAAUCGCAGAUCAGCAUGUUGCGGUGAAUACGUUCCCGGGUCUUGUACAAAAUAAAUGCGCCUG